CACUCCUACGGGAGGCAGCAGUGGGGAAUAUUGCACCAUGGGCGCAAGCCUGAUGCAGCCAUGCCGCGUGUAUGAAGAAGGCCUUCGGGUUGUAAAGUACUUUCAGCGGGGAGGAAGGCGAUAAGGUUAAUAACCUUGUCGAUUGACGUUACCCGCAGAAGAAGCACCGGCUAACUCCGUGCCAGCAGCCGCGGUAAUACGGAGGGUGCAAGCGUUAAUCGGAAUUACUGGGCGUAAAGCGCACGCAGGCGGUCUGUCAAGUCGGAUGUGAAAUCCCCGGGCUCAACCUGGGAACUGCAUUCGAAACUGGCAGGCUAGAGUCUUGUAGAGGGGGGUAGAAUUCCAGGUGUAGCGGUGAAAUGCGUAGAGAUCUGGAGGAAUACCGGUGGCGAAGGCGGCCCCCUGGACAAAGACUGACGCUCAGGUGCGAAAGCGUGGGGAGCAAACAGGAUUAGAAACCCCUGUAGUCCCAUG
rnacentral:rRNA from 1 species